UACGUAGGGUGCAAGCGUUGUCCGGAAUUAUUGGGCGUAAAGAGCUCGUAGGCGGUUUGUCGCGUCUGGUGUGAAAACGCGAGGCUCAACCUCGGGCCUGCAGUGGGUACGGGCAGACUAGAGUGCGGUAGGGGAGAUUGGAAUUCCUGGUGUAGCGGUGGAAUGCGCAGAUAUCAGGAGGAACACCGAUGGCGAAGGCAGAGCGCUGGGCCGUAACUGACGCUGAGGAGCGAAAGCGUGGGGAGCGAACAGG
rnacentral:rRNA from 1 species